rnacentral:rRNA from 1 species
UGGCGGCGAUAGCGCGGUGGUCCCACCUGACCCCAUGCCGAACUCAGCAGUGAAACGCCGUAGCGCCGAUGGUAGUGUGGGGUCUCCCCAUGCGAGAGUAGGGAACUGCCAGACU